GACUGACGGUAGGGAAUAAAGCUAGGGGCACGAACCGGAUUAGAUACCCGGGUUAGUCCUAGCCGUAAACGAUACUCUCUAGGUGUCGGCCACGGUGCGACCGUUGUCGGUGCCGUAGGGAAGCCGUGAAGCGAGCCACCUGGGAAGUACGGCCGCAAGGCUGAAACUUAAAGGAAUUGGCGGGGGAGCACCACAACGGGUGGAGCUUGCGGUUUAAUUGGAUUCAACGCCGGAAAUCUUACCGGGACCGACAGCAAUAUGAAGGCCAGGCUGAAGACUUUGCCGGAUUAGCUGAGAGGAGGUGCAUGGCCGUCGUCAGUUCGUACUGUGAAGCAUCCUGUUAAGUCAGGCAACGAGCGAGACCCAAU
rnacentral:rRNA from 1 species